rnacentral:rRNA from 1 species
AGUAGUUGAUCAGUGGCUACAGAACGACGCUGGCGGCAGGCUUAACACAUGCAAGUCGAACGGUUGUAGCAAUACAGCAGUGGCGCACGGGUGAGUAACGCGUGGAUAUCUGCCUUUUGGUUCGGAAUAACUCCGGGAAACUGGAGCUAAUACCGGAUGGUUCCUGCGGGAUAAAGAUUUAUCGCCAAAAGAUGAGUCCGCGUACGAUUAGCUAGUUGGUGAGGUAAUGGCUCACCAAGGCGACGAUCGUUAGCUGGUCUGAGAGGACGAUCAGCCACACUGGGACUGAGACACGGCCCAGACUCCUACGGGAGGCAGCAGUGGGGAAUAUUGGACAAUGGGGGCAACCCUGAUCCAGCCAUGCCGCGUGAGUGAUGAAGGCCUUCGGGUUGUAAAGCUCUUUUGGCGGGGACGAUGAUGACGGUACCCGCAGAAUAAGCCCCGGCUAACUUCGUG